AAAGUUGUAUUCCUUUGUGGAUUAAUGUAAUUCUUCAGUUUGACACAAUUACUCUUCUGUCAUAUGGUAGAGUGUAUCUUAAGUUAAUAUUUCUAGAGGCUUCAUGGCACAGUCUACCAAAAUUUUGUGUGUUAUUUAUACUGCUUUAGGGAGCUUUAUGCCUGCCAAAAAGGUGUUGCCAACUGUUAUUAGGUCCAUGCACGAUCCAAGUUGAGAAGGGAUUCCCUAUAGAUGGUGAAGUCCUUCACAUGCUCCGGUUUGCAAAUGAUGUUCUGACUGUGUCAGGUCCUGGAACAAUGCAGAUUGUCCUAAAUGAGUCAUAAUUAUUCUGACGAGUUUGGUCUAACCAGACACUCAGGAAAAGACAAGCAAAUGAGAUACUUCUUGUUCAGACUACAUGCAAGUGAAUGGAUAUAGAACAUACAAAACUAAUCACUGAAAACACACCGUGAGUUAGGGCCAAAAUUGAAUAAAGAGGAGAACAGCCUGGUUUGUUUUAGGAAAAUAGCCAAGUUAUUUCAUUGACCCCAAAGCUUCUCCCUGAAACAAGGUCCAUCUUUUUAAUACCAAUAUUCUUCUGAUGUUGUAUGGAUGUGAGUUGGAGAAUGAAGAAUCGAAGUUGAGGAUCACCUAAAUGGCAGUCAAGAGGUACAUGGUGGGCAUGGACAGGCUGCAACACGUUACCAAGAAGGCAUUUGGAAGGCAAACUUCCUCAAAUUCCCUGACUGCACAUUGGAUUAUUAAAGUAACAUAGAGCACAACAAAAUAGAAAUCCAACUGGGCAGAAUUGUAAGUAGCAGUCUCUAUUUUUUCUUCAACAGACUCUUUUUUUUUUUUUUUUUUGCAUUCAGAUUCAUCAUGUCACCUUCUCACACUCACUGUAACGCACCCACCCACCCACACACACACACCUGCAUGCAAAGAUUUCUGGCUCAUAUACUCCAGUGCUAUGACUCGAACAGACACUAACUACUAAGAAUGUGUUUGUUACAAUCAGUGUGAAUCCUAUGGAUUAGAAUAGUUUCUAGAGUUUGGUUACCUUUACCAUACCUUAUGGUCAAAAUGAUAAGCUUGUAAGGAUGGCAUGGCAUACUUGAAUCAAACCUUUCUUUAUCUCAAGCAAUCACACAUAUUUACAAUAUGUACAGGUGACUUUCUACUAUAGAGGGAAAAGUAUCAAGACUGAAUGUUGUUACAAAUUUCCUGAAUUGAGGGUAUUUCCAGUCCCUGUAAUUCAAAAGCAAAUCUGCUGACUUGGCAUUAGGACUCUUAAAAUAGUGUGAUCAAACCGAUAGAGUAAGAAGGUGUUUACAGAAAUAACAUUUACAAACUGUAUAUACAGUACACAGUACCAGUACAUAGAAAAUAGAUUCUCACUUUAUGAUCCCCUUUGUGUAAGGCAAGACUGAAUCUGUCCCCCAAAUUUAGUCAACCAGAGGUACAAGCAACAGAUAGUGGUCCUUCAAUGAAUAUGCAAAUUGGGAAAAAUACUAUUUUGUUGUUGUUGUUGUUGUUGUUGUUGUGUAGGCUGACUCUGGCUUGCUGAAUACACAGGAGAUUAUCACACAUCAACUCUAGCUUGUUUAAAACACUAACACCACCUGAAGAUGGCAACAGAUAUUGUUCAAGGGGCAGCUACCAAAAACAGCUUUGUAAAAGUCAAGUACAACACCAGAAGCCUGCAACUGUACCAGGCGAAGAAACAGACACAGAUGUUAAAUAACAUGAAAAAGAAGAGGAAGAAAAUCUCCCACCUGUGAAUUGGAGGCUGGGGUGGAGCUGAUAGGAAGAGAUGCUGUGGCUAGAGUACGACUCAGGAGAGGGUUGGGG